rnacentral:rRNA from 1 species
UACGAAGGGGGCUAGCGUUGCUCGGAAUCACUGGGCGUAAAGGGCGCGUAGGCGGCCAUUCAAGUCGGGGGUGAAAGCCCAGGGCUCAACCCUGGAAUUGCCUUCGAUACUGUUUGGCUGGAGACCGGAAGAGGUUAGUGGAACUGCGAGUGUAGAGGUGAAAUUCGUAGAUAUUCGCAAGAACACCAGUGGCGAAGGCGGCUAACUGGUCCGGUUCUGACGCUGAGGCGCGAAAGCGUGGGGAGCAAACAGG